CGGGACGUGGCGCAGCUUGGUAGCGCGCAGCGUUCGGGACGCUGAGGUCGCGGGUUCGAAUCCCGCCGUCCCGACCA
rnacentral:tRNA from 1 species